rnacentral:rRNA from 1 species
UUAAGUGGAAAAGGAUGUGGGAUUUCGAAGACAACCAGGAUGUUGGCUCAGAAGCAGCCAUUCAUUCAAAGAGUGCGUAAUAGCUCACUGGUCGAGUGGUCAUGCGCCGAAGAUGUACCGGGGCUCAAACGCGCCACCGAAGCAUGGGAUUCGCGCAAGCGAGUGGUAGAGGAGCAUUGAAUCAGGGCAGAAGCUGGAGCGGGAGCACCAGUGGACUUGAUUCAAGAGAGAAUGCCGGUAUGAGUAGCGAGAGGCAAGCGAGAAACUUGCCCGUCGAAAGCCUAAGGUUUCCUGGGGAAGGUUCAUCCGCCCAGGGUAAGUCGGGACCUAAGCCGAGGACGGAAGUCGUAGGCGAUGGACAGCAGGUUGAGAUUCCUGCACCGCCUUGAGAAUGAUGCAAUGACACAGAAGGAUAGCAUGAGCCGGGUGAUGGUCAACUCGGUUUCCAGAGCGAGGGCGUUUGGUAGUGAAGUACGCCAAACACAUAGCCUGAGCUGAAGAGGGAGCGAAAUUCAAGUAGCGAAGCAUGCGAUUUCACGCUGGCGAGAAAAGUUGCUGGUAUAUCGAAGAGGCGCCCGUACCGCAAACCGACGCAGGUAGGCGAGGUGAGAAUCCUAAGACGAACGGGAGAACCCUUGUUAAGGAACUCGGCAAAAUGACCCCGUAACUUCGGGAGAAGGGGUGCCUCGAAAGAGGCCGCAGAGAAUAGGCCCAAGCGACUGUUUAGCAAAAACACAGGUGUUUGCGAAAGCGAGAGCUGAAGUAUAAGCGCUGACGCCUGCCCGGUGCUGGAAGGUUAAGAGGAGUUGUCAGGCAACGAAGCAGCGAAUCGAAGCCCCAGUAAACGGCGGCCGUAACUAUAACGGUCCUAAGGUAGCGAAAUUCCUUGUCGGGUAAGUUCCGACCCGCACGAAUGGUGUAACGAUUUGGGCACUGUCUCAACAGGGGGCCCGGUGAAAUUGAAGUAUGGGUGAAGAUGCCCAUUACCCGCGACUGGACGGAAAGACCCCGUAGAGCUUUACUGCAGCCUGAUAUUGAGUUUCGGUAACUGAUGCACAGGAUAGGUGGGAGUCUGAGAGACAUGGGUUUCGGCUCGUGUGGAGACGAUGUUGGGAUACCACUCUUCGGUUACUGAAAUUCUAACAUAGCUCUGUGAAACCAGAGGAUGGACAGUGUCAGGUGGACAGUUUGACUGGGGCGGUCGCCUCCGAAAGAGUAACGGAGGCGCCCAAAGGUACCCUCAGAAUGGAUGGAAACCAUUCGAAGAGCGCAAAGGCAGAAGGGUGCCUGACUGCGAGAUUGACAAAUCGAGCAGAGACGAAAGUCGGGCUUAGUGAUCCGGCGGUAUUGAGUGGAAAAGCCGUCGCUUAACGGAUAAAAGCUACCUCGGGGAUAACAGGCUGAUCUCCCCCAAGAGUCCACAUCGACGGGGAGGUUUGGCACCUCGAUGUCGGCUCGUCGCAUCCUGGGGCUGAAGCAGGUCCCAAGGGUUUGGCUGUUCGCCAAUUAAAGCGGCACGCGAGCUGGGUUCAGAACGUCGUGAGACAGUUCGGUCCCUAUCCAUCGUGGGCGUAGGAGUCAUGAGAGGAGCUGUUCCUAGUACGAGAGGACCGGAAUGGACGCACCACUGGUGCAACUGUUGUCGUGCCAACGGCAUAGCAGGGAAGCGAAGUGCGGAUGGGAUAAACGCUGAAGGCAUCUAAGCGUGAAGCCCACCUCAAGAAUAAGACUCCAAGCAGCAAUGCGAGAGACCCCUGGAAGACUACCAGGUGAUAGGUCGUCGGUGGAAGCGCAGUAAUGUGUGUAGCUUGACGAUACUAAUCGGUCGAUAGCUUGAUUU